rnacentral:tRNA from 1 species
GGAGGCGUGGCAGAGCGGCCGAAUGCGGCGGUCUUGAAAACCGCUGUGCCGCAAGGCACCGGGGGUUCGAAUCCCUCCGCCUCCGCCA